UACGUAGGGUGCGAGCGUUGCCCGGAUUUAUUGGGCGUAAAGGGCGCGUAGGCGGUGAGAUGCGUCCGUUGUGAAAUCGCCCGGCUCAACUGGGCGGGGUCAGCGGAUACGGUCUCACUUGAGCAAGCUAGGGGGCAAUGGAAUUCCUGGUGUAGCGGUGAAAUGCGCAGAUAUCAGGAGGAACACCGGUGGCGAAGGCGAUUCUCUGGGCCUUACCUGACGCUGAGGAGCGAAAGCGUGGGGAGCGAACAGG
rnacentral:rRNA from 1 species